GUGGGGAAUAUUGCGCAAUGGGGGAAACCCUGACGCAGCGACGCCGUGUGAGGGAAGAAGGCUUUCGGGUCGUAAACCUCUGUCAGAAAGGAAGAACCUCCCAAGUCCGAAUAGGGCUUGGGACUGACGGUACUUUCAAAGGAAGCACCGGCUAACUCCGUGCCAGCAGCCGCGGUAAUACGGAGGGUGCAAGCGUUAAUCGGAAUCACUGGGCGUAAAGCGCGCGUAGGCCGCUUUGUAAGUCGGACGUGAAAGCCCUCGGCUCAACCGGGGAACUGAGGUCGAUACUGCGAGGCUUGAGUCCUGGAGAGGGUGGCGGAAUUCCGGGUGUAGGAGUGAAAUCCGUAGAUAUCCGGAGGAACACCGGUGGCGAAGGCGGCCACCUGGACAGGUACUGACGCUGAGGCGCGAAAGCGUGGGGAGCAAACAGGAUUAGAAACCCGGGUAGUCC
rnacentral:rRNA from 1 species